UAUUUUCAGGGAAACACGGUACUAAAAUUGGAAGGAUACAGGGAAGAUUAGCAUGGCCCCAGCACAAGGAAGACAUGUAAAUUUGUGAAGCGUUCCAUAUUUUG
rnacentral:snRNA from 1 species